GCUUGAGCACGUAGGUGGGUUUGUAAGUCAGAUGUGAAAGCCUUCUGUUCAACGGAAGAAUUGCAUCUGAAACUACUAAUCUUGAGUAUAGGAGGGGAGAAUGGAACUUCUGGUGGAGCGGUGAAAUGCGUAGAUAUCAGAAGGAACGCCGGCGGCGAAAGCGAUUCUCUGGCCUAUUACUGACACUCAGUGUGCGAAAGCUAGGGGAGCAAACGGGAUUAGAUACCCCGGUAGUCCUAGCCGUAAACGAUGGGCACUAAGUAGAGGGGAUUACCUAUGUUCUCUCUGCCGUAGCUAACGCAUUAAGUGCCCCGCCUGGGGAGUACGGCCGCAAGGCUAAAACUCAAAAGAAUUGACGGGGGCUCGCACAAGCGGUGGAGCAUGUGGCUUAAUUCGAUGCAACGCGAAAAACCUUACCGGGGCUUGACAUGAUAGAAGUAGGAACCUGAAAGGGGGACGAACGGUAUCCAGUCCGUAGCUAUUACAGGUGUUGCAUGGCUGUCGUCAGCUCGUGUCGUGAGACGUUGGGUUAAGUCCCCUAACGAGCGAAACCCUUGUUUUUAGUUACCAGCGGGUUAUGCCGGGUACUCUAGAAAGACUGCCGUCGUCAAGACGGAGGAAGGUGGGGAUGACGUCAAGUCAUCACGGCCCUUAUGCCCCGGGCUGCACACGUGCUACAAUGGUCGGUACAGACGGAAGCGAAGCCGAGAGGUGAAGCGAAUCCAAGC
rnacentral:rRNA from 1 species